UAGGGAAUCUUGCGCAAUGGGCGAAAGCCUGACGCAGCAACGCCGCGUGCGGGAAGAAGGCCUUCGGGUUGUAAACCGCUUUUGGCAGGAACGAAAAUGACGGUACCUGCAGAAUAAGGUGCGGCCAACUACGUGCCAGCAGCCGCGGUGACACGUAGGCACCAAGCGUUGUCCGGAUUUAUUGGGCGUAAAGAGCUCGUAGGCGGUUCAGUUAGUCGGGUGUGAAAACUCUGGGCUUAACCCGGAGACGCCACCCGAUACUGCUGGACUUGAGUUCGGUAGGGGAGCGGGGGAAUUCCUGGUGUAGCGGUGAAAUGCGCAGAUAUCAGGAGGAACACCGGUGGCGAAGGCGCCGCUCUGGGCCGAAACUGACGCUGAGGAGCGAAAGCGUGGGUAGCAAACAGGAUUAGAUACCCUGGUAGUCCACGCCGUAAACGUUGGGCACUAGGUGUGGGUUCCAACCAACGGAAUCCGUGCCGUCGCUAACGCAUUAAGUGCCCCGCCUGGGGAGUACGGCCGCAAGG
rnacentral:rRNA from 1 species